AAUAUUGGACAAUGGGCGAAAGCCUGAUGCAGCAACGCCGCGUGAGGGAUGACGGCCUUCGGGUUGUAAACCUCUUUUGUCAGGGAAGAAGCCUUUGGGUUACGGUACCUGGAGAAAAAGCACCGGCUAACUACGUGCCAGCAGCCGCGGUAAUACGUAGGGUGCAAGCGUUGUCCGGAAUUAUUGGGCGGAAAGAGCUCGUAGGCGGCUUGGCGCGGCUGCUGUGAAAACCCGGGGGUCCACCUCGGGGCUGCAGUGGGUUCGGGCAGGCUUGAGUGGCGUUGGGGAGAUUGGAAUUUCUGGUGUAGCGGUGGAAUGCGCAGAUAUCAGGGGGAACACCGGUGGCGAAGGCAGAUCUCUGGGCCGCUACUGACGCUGAGGAGCGAAAGCAUGGGGAGCGAA
rnacentral:rRNA from 1 species